rnacentral:tRNA from 1 species
GGGUCAUUAGCUCAAUUGGUAGAGCAGUGGACUCUUAAUCCAUUGGCUGGAGGUUCGAGUCCUCCAUGACCCA